rnacentral:lncRNA from 1 species
UGACUUGUUUGAUUUCUCUCCUCACUCAGUACAAUGUGUGCUCUAGGAGAGCGGGAGCCUCUGUGUUUUGUUGACCACUGUGUCCUCAGCAGUAUGGUUGGUCCUUGGGACUUAUUAGGUGUUCAGUAAAAAUGGGUUGAAUUUGCUGACCUCCAAAUGUCCUCAAGCAUCGUCAGCUGUGUUCAGAAGGAAUCAAAGUCCUCCAGAGAGACAGCACGCCUAUGUCCAGAGGGAUGCAUCAAAAGGAACUCAAAAGAUGAAAAUCUGGCUGAUGUUGGAGAUGAGGAUGUGUUCUUGUCCUCGAUAAUUCAUCCCAAUGAAGGCUCUCAUGCAGUGAGAAGCCAUGAAAACAGGAGACCAAGCUCUUAGUUCGUGUCUGCUGCUAUUCAACACAAAGCAUAUCCUAUCACUAGGGAUUUGGGAUAGAACUUGUGCCAGCAGGCUGCUCUGAGGCCUACCACCUGUCGGGCUGUAUGCUGCUAGGCACACCCUGAAGAUGCUCAGGGUCUUUCACCUCCCAUUCCCAGAUAUUAUCCAACACUGCACCUGGGAUGUUAGGAAGAGAAUGACAGCCAACUGGACACUGAGUUGGUCCCCAGAGGUUGAGCAUGGGAAGUGACCACUUUGCUGGCCCCAUCACCUCUUCUUGGGGCUGGGCAGAGCCGGCCUUGGGGUCCAGAAUUUGCUGCAGCAAGAGCUGGGGAGCCCAGCUUUUAAUCUUGAUCAAUGAGAAGGUUGGAGUGAUUGAUGUUAAGGAAGUGGAGCUGAAAGAGUGGGGCAGACACCCAGGUGUGCUGGUCCUUUCAUCUUCACAUCAAAUGCUACCUGACAGCUGGCUGUAAAUAACAGGCUGCAAUUUCCUGGGAGGGGCAGACAGGUAAGAGUUUCUUAGUAGAUAAAAGAGCUGGGGCUGAUGAUAUCCAUAAUGGAAAUUUGAUAAAUUAACUUGUUUAUUAUUCAUUCAUUUAUUAAUUUAACAAGGAUCUAUAGCCUUGCUCCUCAAAUAUAGGCCAUGGCCCGGCAGCAUCAACACCAUCUGGGAGAGCUGGUUAGAAAUGCUGAAUCUCAGGCCCCCCAACCCUGCUGAACCAGAAUCUGCAUUUUGACAAAACUGCCAGGAGAUUCUUAGGCAUAGACAAGUCAGAAGGCCUGAUCUACAGGAUAACUGUAGUGGCCCACUACUGGGUA